GACCACGUAGCUCAGUUGGUAGAGCAUUGGGCUAGUAUUCCAAAGGUCGUAGGUUCGAUUCCCACCGUGGCCA
rnacentral:tRNA from 1 species